rnacentral:tRNA from 1 species
CGCCCGGCUGUCGGAGGCGCUGGAAGGCCCGUUCCUGAUGGGCGAGAAGAUGACGGUGCCCGAUAUGCUGCUGGUGCACUGCCUGCGCUGGGCGG